rnacentral:rRNA from 1 species
AUUCCUACGGGAGGCAGCAGUGGGGAAUAUUGCACAAUGGGCGAAAGCCUGAUGCAGCGACGCCGCGUGAGGGAUGACGGCCUUCGGGUUGUAAACCUCUUUCAGUAGGGAAGAAGCGAGAGUGACGGUACCUGCAGAAGAAGCGCCGGCUAACUACGUGCCAGCAGCCGCGGUAAUAAU